ensembl:lncRNA
AGAAAUUUAGGAGCACACAGAGAAAUUUAGGAGCACACAAAGAAAUUUAGGAGCACACAAAGAAAUUUAGGAGCACAGUGAAAAGUGUUCAAGUAACACAGAGUUUACUAACUAACAAUUUAUUCCAUACAUAUUUAUACUGCGUGUGUAUUAAGGGACACACAUCUGUGCAACAGAACAUACCACCAAAAUCACACAUUGACCCAUGACCCAUGACCCAUGGCUACUAGACGCGAAGGAUAUCAGAUGUCCAGCUGCUUUUGUAUGUUGGCCGUCUGACACGCUUAGGGGUUGGCCGUCUGACACGCUUAGGGGUCGGCCGUCUGACACGCUUAGAGGUCAGCCAGCGGUCCACGGCAGGAGUGGGAUCCAACUCCUCGACAGAAGGCCCCUCCAGGCUGAUCCUCAUCAGGUCUUCGGUGGUGGAGAUCACAAGGCAGUUCCUUGUUGAAUUAUUAAUAUCAGGUUCUGCUCAGAGAAGCCUCACUCUUUGGUGCCGAAACCCGAGAUAUGAGCUGUGACGAAGAAGAAGUGGCUGAACUGGCUGAGGAGGAACGUCGGCCUGAAGCAGAUAGAAUGAGACGAAAGCGGGGUUGAUUGUGGCUGACUUUCCGACCGCAUCUUACCUGCAUUGCUCUGUAGAAUCUAAAGUUGUUAAAUGUAACGUAAACAAGUAUUCUUACUAAAAGAAGCUUUCGUAUCAAAACCGACGUCCCGAGUCAUUACUAAGAAGUUAGUUCAUCUAAAACACUCACACCGGGAGGCUGAAAAUGGGCAGCACCAGCAUAAUCUGCACCAACUCCAGUAUGUUGUAGGGAAAAGAUAAUAUCUUUCCAUUUCAUUUAAACUCUUACCAUUUAAACUUAUCAAAACCAAACAUAGGAUGCCUUACAUAACCACUCAGGACUGUUAGUCGACCUUGUGAUCGUGCCUGUAGGGAUCCUUUGUCAACAUGGUCUCCCCACAGGCCACUGUAGGACUUGUCCUUGUGAUCGUGCCUGUAGUGGUCCUUUGUCAACAUGGUCUCCCCACAGGCCACUGUAGGACUUGUCCUUGACAUUGUGGCUGACCAGGAUUUUCAGUCCCUUGCCACUCAUCCUGGAUUACAGCCAUGUUGCACCCCGAUCUGCAGGGUUGAACAGAGCAAGUGAGUUUGCAAAAAUAUGCAGUUUGCAAACAUAACAUCGUCUCAGAUGGAUGAUGAGCUGUGCCUGGUUUUCUUCAGACAUAGCAUUUUUGCGUUCAGGCCAAAGAGUUACAUUUAGUCUCAUCAGACCACAGAAUAUUUUGUCUUUAUGCCCUUUAGUCUUUCACGUGCCUUUUUA